rnacentral:rRNA from 1 species
AACGAACGCUGGCGGCAUGCCUAACACAUGCAAGUCGAACGAGACCUCCGGGACUAGUGGCGCACGGGGGCGUAACGCGGGGGAAGCUGCCCUUAGGUUCCGAAUAAUUCCCUUAAGGGGGUGCUAAUGCAGGAAAAUGUACUCGGACAAAAGAUUUAUCGCCCUUGGGUGGGCCCGAGAUGGUUUAGCUGGUUGGGAGUGUAAAAGCCGAUCAAGGCGUCGUUCCAUAGCUGGUCUGAGAGAAAGGUCAGCCACACUGGGGCUGAGACACGGCCCAGACUCCUACGGGAGGGAGGAGUGGGUGAUACAGGCCUAUGGGCGAGAGCCUGAUCCAGCACUGCUGGGUAAGUCCUGAAGGUGUUAGGGAUGUGAAGCUCUUUUACCCGGGAUGAUAAUGACGGUACCGGGAGAAUAAGCACCGGCUAACUCCGUG